CCUACGGGUGGCAGCAGUGAGGAAUAUUGGUCAAUGGACGCAAGUCUGAACCAGCCAAGUAGCGUGCAGGAUGACGGCCCUCCGGGUUGUAAACUGCUUUUAGUUGGGAAUAAAAGGGGGCUCUUGAGCCCCGUAUUUUAUUUACCAUCAAAAACAGGCCCUGCUAAUUCCUUUCCAGCAGCCGCGGUAAUCCGGAAGGUCCGGGCGUUAUCCGGAUUUAUUGGGUUUUAAGGGAGCGUAGGCCGGCUUUUAAGUCAGCUGUGAAAGUCCGCGGCUCAACCGUGGAAUUGCAGUUGAAACUGGAGGCCUUGAGUGCACACAGGGAUGCCGGAAUUCAUGGUGUAGCGGUGAAAUGCUUAGAUAUCAUGAAGAACUCCGAGCGCGAAGGCAAGUGUCCGGGGUGCAACUGACGCUGAGGCUCGAAAGUGCGGGUAUCAAACAGGAUUAGAUACCCUGGUAGUC
rnacentral:rRNA from 1 species